UACGAAGGGGGCUAGCGUUGCUCGGAAUCACUGGGCGUAAAGCGCACGUAGGCGGCUUCUUAAGUCAGGGGUGAAAUCCUGGAGCUCAACUCCAGAACUGCCUUUGAUACUGAGGAGCUCGAGUCCGGGAGAGGUGAGUGGAACUCCGAGUGUAGAGGUGAAAUUCGUAGAUAUUAGGAAGAACACCAGUGGCGAAGGCGGCUCACUGGCCCGGUACUGACGCUGAGGCGCGAAAGCGUGGGGAGCAAACAGG
rnacentral:rRNA from 1 species